rnacentral:rRNA from 1 species
UGGGACUGAGACACGGCCCAGACUCCUACGGGAGGCAGCAGUGGGGAAUAUUGCACAAUGGGCGAAAGCCUGAUGCAGCGACGCCGCGUGAGGGAUGACGGCCUUCGGGUUGUAAACCUCUUUCAGCAGGGAAGAAGCGAAAGUGACGGUACCUGCAGAAGAAGCGCCGGCUAACUACGUGCCAGCAGCCGCGGUAAUACGUAGGGCGCGAGCGUUGUCCGGAAUUAUUGGGCGUAAAGAGCUCGUAGGCGGCUUGUCACGUCGGUUGUGAAAGCCCGGGGCUUAACCCCGGGUCUGCAGUCGAUACGGGCAGGCUAGAGUUCGGUAGGGGAGAUCGGAAUUCCUGGUGUAGCGGUGAAAUGCGCAGAUAUCAGGAGGAACACCGGUGGCGAAGGCGGAUCUCUGGGCCGAUACUGACGCUGAGGAGCGAAAGCGUGGGGAGCGAACAGGAUUAGAUACCCUGGUAGUCCACGCCGUAAACGGUGGGCACUAGGUGUGGGCAACAUUCCACGUUGUCCGUGCCGCAGCUAACGCAUUAAGUGCCCCGCCUGGGGAGUACGGCCGCAAGGCUAAAA